GAUGAACGCUGGCGGCGUGCCUAAUACAUGCUAGUCGAGCGAACAGACGAGGAGCUUACUCCUCUGACGUUAGCGGCGGACGGGUGAGUAACACGUGGAUAACCUACCUAUAAGACUGGGAUAACUUCGGGAAACCGGAGCUAAUACCGGAUAACAUGUUGAACCGCAUGGUUCAACAGUGAAAGACGGUCUUGCUGUCACUUGUAGAUGGAUCCGCGUCGCAUUAGCUAGUUGGUAAGGUAACGGCUUACCAAGGCAACGAUGCGUAGCCGACCUGAGAGGGUGAUCGGCCACACUGGAACUGAGACACGGUCCAGACUCCUACGGGAGGCAGCAGUAGGGAAUCUUCCGCAAUGGGCGAAAGCCUGACGGAGCAACGCCGCGUGAGUGAAGAAGGUCUUCGGAUCGUAAAACUCUGUUAUUAGGGAAGAACAAAUGUGUAAGUAACUAUGCACGUCUUGACGGUACCUAAUCAGAAAGCCACGGCUAACUACGUG
rnacentral:rRNA from 1 species